rfam:Myotis davidii contig165509, whole genome shotgun sequence.
GCCAGUGUGGCUCAAUGGUUGAGUGUUGACUCAUGCACCAACAAGUCACAGGUUCAAUUCCUGUUCAGGGCA